UGAAAAUACGGAUUCCCAUGGCUAGCUGUGGGACUUGACUGAUGCACAUAUUGGCACCUAGAAAACUUACACAGAAAUUAAAAUUAAGAUGUUGGCAUAUUUUGACCUUUUUUUGCCUAAGGAUGAAAUUUAAUUUACAUGUCUGAACUUAAUUAACUUUCUGAGAUUUUAAAUUUCCAUCACGUUGACUGCUUUUUUCAUAGGUUUUAAGUUGGGAAUUGCAAACUUGCAAUCAAGUUACACAGACUGUUACCACAAAAUGUUUUUGUAAACUAAAUUAUAAAAUUUAUCUCUGGAAAGUGUGUAGUCAUGUGUUUCUCCUUAAAUUACACAGGUUAUGGAGGUUUUGAUGACUAUGGUGGCUAUAAUAAUUACGGCUAUGGGAAUGAUGGCUUUGAUGACAGAAUGAGAGAUGGAAGAGGUAUGGGAGGACAUGGCUAUGGUGGAGCUGGUGAUGCAAGUUCAGGUUUUCAUGGUGGUCAUUUCGUACAUAUGAGAGGGUUACCUUUUCGUGCAACUGAAAAUGACAUUGCUAAUUUCUUCUCACCACUAAAUCCAAUACGAGUUCAUAUUGAUAUUGGAGCUGAUGGCAGAGCCACAGGAGAAGCAGAUGUAGAGUUUGUGACACAUGAAGAUGCAGUAGCUGCCAUGUCUAAAGAUAAAAAUAACAUGCGUAAGUGGUGUCUUUGGCACGCUAUCUUAUUUCCUAAACGUGAAUUUAUAAAAUAAGAGGCUCUAAGAUCUGUAGGUAACGCUUGGCAGUUGUUGGGAUUUAAAACCAUUUGACCUCUAUAAUGGCUUUCUGUGGGCUUUAUAUAUCGCUGUACUAGUAAUUAAUAAGCAUACUUUGUUUAAUAUUACUUAAUUGAUCUUUUUUACAAAGCUUGUAUUGAUGAAUUUGAUCCAUCAUUCCUUUCUCCCCUGUUACUCUUUCUUUUUUUCUUAAAGAACAUCGAUAUAUUGAACUCUUCUUGAAUUCUACUCCUGGAGGCGGCUCUGGCAUGGGAGGUUCUGGAAUGGGAGGCUAUGGAAGAGAUGGAAUGGGUAUGUAAAGUUUUUAAAAUAUGCAGGGUUAGCUGCUUAUCGAUGAGUCUCAAUUUUUUUUCUUUUUUCUUUUUAAAGAUAAUCAGGGAGGCUAUGGAUCAGUUGGAAGAAUGGGAAUGGGGAACAAUUACAGUGGAGGAUAUGGUACUCCUGAUGGUUUGGGUGGUUAUGGCCGUGGUGGUGGAGGCAGUGGAGGUUACUAUGGGCAAGGCGGCAUGAGUGGAGGUGGAUGGCGUGGGAUGUACUGAAAGCAAAAACACCAACAUACAAGUCUUGACAACAGCAUCUGGUCUACUAGACUUUCUUACAGAUUUAAUUUCUUUUGUAUUUUAAGAACUUUAUAAUGACUGAAGGAAUGUGUUUUCAAAAUAUUAUUUGGUAAAGCAACAGAUUGUGAUGGGAAAAUGUUUUCUGUAGGUUUAUUUGUUGCAUACUUUGACUUAAAAAUAAAUUUUUAUAUUCA
rnacentral:sRNA from 1 species